AUUGAACGCUGGCGGCAUGCCAUACACAUGCAAGUCGAACGGUAACAGGUUAAGCUGACGAGUGGCGAGCGGGUGAGUAAUACAUCGGAACGUGCCCAGUAGUGGGGGAUAGCUCGGCGAAAGCCGGAUUAAUACCGCAUACGACCUAAGGGGGAAAGGGGGGGAUCGCAAGACCUCUCGCUAUUGGAGCGGCCGAUGUCAGAUUAGCUAGUUGGUGGGGUAAAAGCGCACCAAGGCGACGAUCUGUAGCUGGUCUGAGAGGACGACCAGCCACACUGGGACUGAGACACGGCCCAGACGCCUACGGGAGGCAGCAGUGGGGAAUUUUGGACAAUGGGCGCAAGCCUGAUCCAGCCAUGCCGCGUGCGGGACGAAGGCCUUCGGGUUGUAAACCGCUUUUGUCAGGGAAGAAAUCCUUUGGGUUAAUACCUCGGGGGGAUGACGGUACCUGAAGAAUAAGCACCGGCUAACUACGUG
rnacentral:rRNA from 1 species